CUACAUGAAGCUGGAGUUACUAGUAAUCGCAGAUCAGAAUGCUGCGGUGAAUGCGUUCCCGGGUCUUGUACACACCGCCCGUCACACCACGGGAGGUGGAGACGCCCGAAGCCGAUUAUCUAACCUUGUGGAAGAAGUCGUCGAAGGUGGAAUCAAUAACUGGGGUGAAGUCGUAACAAGGUAGCCGUAUCGGAAGGUGCGGCUGGAUCACCUCCUUUCUAAG
rnacentral:rRNA from 1 species